GAUGAACGCUGGCGGCGUGCCUAAUACAUGCAAGUCGAGCGAACAGACGAGGAGCUUGCUCCUCUGACGUUAGCGGCGGACGGGUGAGUAACACGUGGAUAACCUACCUAUAAGACUGGGAUAACUUCGGGAAACCGGAGCUAAUACCGGAUAACAUGUUGAACCGCAUGGUUCAACAGUGAAAGACGGUCUUGCUGUCACUUAUAGAUGGAUCCGCGCCGCAUUAGCUAGUUGGUAAGGUAACGGCUUACCAAGGCAACGAUGCGUAGCCGACCUGAGAGGGUGAUCGGCCACACUGGAACUGAGACACGGUCCAGACUCCUACGGGAGGCAGCAGUAGGGAAUCUUCCGCAAUGGGCGAAAGCCUGACGGAGCAACGCCGCGUGAGUGAAGAAGGUCUUCGGAUCGUAAAACUCUGUUAUUAGGGAAGAACAAAUGUGUAAGUAACUAUGCACGUCUUGACGGUACAUAAUCAGAAAGCCACGGCUAACUACGUG
rnacentral:rRNA from 1 species